rnacentral:rRNA from 1 species
CAGUCGCCGCGGUAAUACGGAGGGUGCAAGCGUUACUCGGAAUUACUGGGCGUAAAGCGUGCGUAGGUGGUGGUUUAAGUCCGUUGUGAAAGCCCUGGGCUCAACCUGGGAAUUGCGGUGGAUACUGGAUCACUAGAGUGUGGUAGAGGAUAGUGGAAUUUCCGGUGUAGCAGUGAAAUGCGUAGAGAUCGGAAGGAACAUCUGUGGCGAAGGCGACUAUCUGGGCCAACACUGACACUGAGGCACGAAAGCGUGGGGAGCAAACAGGAUUAGAUACCCGUGUAGUCCCUGUCUCUUAUAC